GCCUGCUUAGCUCAGUUGGUCAGAGCAUCCGCUUCAUACGCGGAUUGUCACUCGUUCAAAUCGAGUAGCAGGUA
rnacentral:tRNA from 1 species